GAUGAACGCUGGCGGCGUGCCUAAUACAUGCAAGUCGAGCGAACAGACGAGGAGCUUGCUCCUUCGACGUUAGCGGCGGACGGGUGAGUAACACGUAGGUAACCUACCUAUAAGACUGGGAUAACUUCGGGAAACCGGAGCUAAUACCGGAUAAUAUUUCGAACCGCAUGGUUCGAUAGUGAAAGAUGGCUUUGCUAUCACUUAUAGAUGGACCUGCGCCGUAUUAGCUAGUUGGUAAGGUAACGGCUUACCAAGGCAACGAUACGUAGCCGACCUGAGAGGGUGAUCGGCCACACUGGAACUGAGACACGGUCCAGACUCCUACGGGAGGCAGCAGUAGGGAAUCUUCCGCAAUGGGCGAAAGCCUGACGGAGCAACGCCGCGUGAAUGAUGAAGGUCUUCGGAUCGUAAAACUCUGUUAUUAGGGAAGAACAAACGUGUAAGUAACUGUGCACGUCUUGACGGUACCUAAUCAGAAAGCCACGGCUAACUACGUG
rnacentral:rRNA from 1 species